rnacentral:lncRNA from 1 species
AAAUUGUAGAAGAAAGUCUUCAAUUCUCCCCUAAAACUUUGAGUAUGCACAGCUGAUCCUGUCCUCUCUGCUGGAGCUUUGGAUGGGACUGGGGAACUUAAAAUUUUGUUUUAAAGUUUAAAUAUUUUUGUGUGUGUUUGUGUGUGUAUAAGAAUGAGAGCGAGAGCUAGAGUUGGGUGGGGAGUGGAGGAAUGGAUGGGUGUGUUUGUAUUCAUGGGUGCAGACGUGUGUAGGUCAGAAGGUGGAUAGGGUGAGGUAUGUGUCCUUACCUUUGUACCUCGUUUGAGUCAAAGUCUCUUGACUACUGAGUAAGCCAGGUUAGCCGGCCUUCACAUAUUCUGGAGACUCUCCUGUUUCCAGCCACUGCUUCCUUCAGAGCCUGCUGGCAUUCAUUUUGUACCACUUUCAUCUAGGAUCUGGGGAUCAGAACUUGGGCUGUCAAGCUCGAAGGUUAAGCACGGGUAACUAAGUAUGCACUUAUCGAGUCAUCUCCUUAGCCCCAGGAGUGGUGAGCUCCGACCAAGGAACAUAGUGAUUUGGUUAAUAUUUAAGAGCUAGAACAGUGACAAUCACAUAAGGUUGACUACUCACAUUUUAAACUUCUAUAUUGUGUGUGGGUCUUAUUUCUGAAGACAGCAGCAAAGCCCCAGCUUAAACUGCUGAUAACUAUUUAAACAGAAGGGAAGAGAUUAACCAAUGUAAAGUGAAAUUUGUUUCUUUUUUUAUAACUUCUUUGUAGUCUUGGGCUACCCAAAAUUAUGCCUUUGAAGUCAAGGAACAAUCUUACAGGAAAGAGCUGUAAGCACUGUUUAGGAUCGUGUUAUAAGUUUCAUGAUGAAGGACAGGACUACACUGUGGGUUUGAUAUCUGGGAACCCUUUGCUGCUUCUGUGUACAAGUUGCUAUUGGGAGGCUUAGCCACCUGGAUUGUCGUCAAACUUAACAGGCAAUAGGAUACACAUUUCAUCUCUAGUAAACUGUACAGUUUACAGCAGAUAUUAUGGAUUUAAAUAUCUAGGAUGUUGUAAGAUGUGAGGAUAUUUCAGGAAAGUUUGCCAACUGCAAGUAGAAAAUUGAAGCUCCAAAUGAGUUCUGCCCUGAGUUAUUAAGGAUGUUUAGUUCUGCAGAGGCAUGAAAGUGGGUAACUGGGGGAAGCACUAGGAAGCCUGUAACUAGAAGGUGCCACCUUGUCAGUACAAUGUGGGGAAAUGUAACAGCCGUCUCACAUGAGUAGAUCGCAGUCUUUGUUAGUUGAGAAUCACGGAGAUACUGAACACGAGCAUGACUUUCAAAGACUUGAUUAUGGUCAAGUUACCGAUUGGAAUAGCAUGAUUUUAAUUCAUUAAUUUAGUUGAAACAACAAAUUUCUUAUUUUAAUUUUUUUAAAUUAGGUCCCUUCCUCGAUAUCCUCAAUGGUCUCACUUUGUAGUCUUGGCUGUCUUGGUAUUCGUUAUUUAGAUCAGCCUGGCCUUGAACUCACAGAAGUUCACCGGUUUGUCUCCCGAGGGCUGGAAUUAAAGGCAUGUACCAAUACUGAUGGAAUAAUAAGCCCAAUCAAAUACUUUCUUUCAUAAGUUGCCUCGGUCAUGGUGUCUUAUUAGAGCAAUAGAAAAGU